UACAGGAUACUCAGAGAUACGGAAGUUUGUGUUUUAUUUGUUAUUUGGUGGAGCUUUAGUUUUUAGAUCAAAUUGCUCUGAGAGGUUGAAGCAGGUAAAGGAGAAGAUGGCUUAUGAAAUGAGGAGCUUAUGAAAUGAGGAGCUUAUGAAAUGAGGAGCUUAUGAAAUGAAGGGUGGGAGAGGAUGAGACCCAAAGUGGAUUUGAAAGAGGGGUGCCAUACCUCUUCCACUGAUCUGUGAGCCCAGGCCAAGGACAGAAGCAAAGGCAAGUAAGUUGUGGAUGGAGUGCAGGAAAUGGAAGGAGUGCCAUCUCACUGCUGCUGUCUUCUCUGUGAGGGCUGAGGCCAUUGCUUAGACGAACAGGCGUGAAGCUGUGGGGAAGAGCAGCAGCAGCUUACAUAGCCAUUGGGGAAAACAGGGGGAAGGUGGAGUCACUGACCUUCUGAGGGAUGAGGUGUUGGCUGCACUCCUGGACGACAGGCAUGACAUUGAGUUCUCUGCAUCCCCACUCUCCAGAUCCCUUUCCCUGGAAGGGCCCACAUACUGAGGAACUGAGGUAUUCUGCAAUAGCUGUUGAGAAAUCCAAAUCAAAGUGGAAUUUCAGCCCAAUCAAACUCCCAGAACCUC